GCGCGUCAAGGGCGUGCGAGGCCUCCCCAUCCACUCCUGCACCCUCCGACCUCUGCACACCUCCACCGGCAGGCAUAGGGCCGGACGGGCCAGGCCCCCGUGCUCGGUGGGCUCCCCAGUGCCGGCUUAGGCUUCAACCCCGCUGGCACCUCUCCCCACGUCCACCAGGCCCGGCAGCCUACACAAGGUGCUUCUGCUGCUUCCCUGCACCCCCUGGAUUUGUCACUAUUACGGGGACCGUCUCCUCACUUCCCCGCCAGCUUCCGAGCUGCCUGGGCCGGCACAUGGGACUUGCUUUGAAGCUCCAAUCAGGAGAGCAGGUCCCUCUUACCUUGAGGCCUCAUGUGUCUGACAUGGUGUCCCAAGUCACUGGUCUGAACGUCACCCGGCACCUUCCGACACCAGCUUUGGGAACUGGGACCAGCGCCACCGGUGAGCGGUCGGAGAAGGCAGGGGUAGCGGGUCUGGGAACAGCACCUGACACUCCCGGCCACCGUGGGCCCCACGUCGCUGCUCCUGCCCUGAAGAUGCCCACUUAUGGGGACAGGAGUUGUUGGA